GUGCGGUUUGGGAAGUUUUUAUGUUUUUAGAUAUAUAUAAAAGUUAAAUUUAAUUUGCAUAUCUGAAAGAUAAAAUCAUUUUUGGCAAAGAUCUGGAUUCAAAAUAUUUUUUUGUCCUAUGCUUUUUUAUUCAUCAAUUUGGGAAUCAGAAUAUUUUUUUUUCAAGAAAAAUAGCAUUUUCCAUCUGAACUUAUAAUUUUAUUUUAGACAUAAACAAAACGUUACUGUGGGCUUGGACAUUCGUUCUGAACAUGCAUGAAAUAUUUGCCACUGAACGUUAAACAACUAACAACCAAUCAAUAUCUAGGACAUUAUAAAGCUGGCAUUUAAGGUAGCGCCUUCCUCAUAUUA
rnacentral:lncRNA from 1 species